AUCCAGCUGACGAGUCCCAAAUAGGAUGAAACACGCGUCCUGGAU
rfam:Schistosoma mansoni strain Puerto Rico chromosome 2, complete genome